UACGGAGGGGGCUAGCGUUGUUCGGAAUUACUGGGCGUAAAGCGUACGUAGGCGGCUUUGUAAGUUAGAGGUGAAAGCCCAGAGCUCAACUCUGGAACUGCCUUUAAGACUGCAUCGCUUGAAUUGUGGAGAGGUAAGUGGAAUUCCGAGUGUAGAGGUGAAAUUCGUAGAUAUUCGGAAGAACACCAGUGGCGAAGGCGACUUACUGGACACAUAUUGACGCUGAGGUGCGAAAGCGUGGGGAGCAAACAGG
rnacentral:rRNA from 1 species